GACGAACGCUGGCGGCGUGCCUAAUACAUGCAAGUCGAACGCCCUCGACCUUCGGGUCACAUGAGGGAGUGGCGAACGGGUGCGUAACACGUGAGAAACCUGCCCCGAAGACGGGAACAACUCGAGGAAACUCGAGCUAAUACCCGAUGCCCUCACCGGACCGCAUGGUCUGGUGAGGAAAGGCUCCGGCGCUUCGGGAGGGUCUCGCGGCCUAUCAGCUUGUUGGUGAGGUAACGGCUCACCAAGGCAUCGACGGGUAGCUGGUCUGAGAGGACGAUCAGCCACACUGGGACUGAGACACGGCCCAGACUUCUACGGAAGGCAGCAGUAGGGAAUCUUGCGCAAUGGGCGAAAGCCUGACGCAGCAACGCCGCGUGGGGGAUGAAGGCCUUCGGGUUGUAAACCCCUUUCAGCAGGGACGAAAAUGACGGUACCUGCAGAAGAAGCCCCGGCCAACUACGUGCCAGCCGCCGCCGUAACAC
rnacentral:rRNA from 1 species